rnacentral:rRNA from 1 species
UGGGGAAUUUUGGACAAUGGGCGAAAGCCUGAUCCAGCAAUGCCGCGUGUGUGAAGAAGGCCUUCGGGUUGUAAAGCACUUUUGUCCGGAAAGAAAUCCUUGGCUCUAAUACAGUCGGGGGAUGACGGUACCGGAAGAAUAAGCACCGGCUAACUACGUGCCAGCAGCCGCGGUAAUACGUAGGGUGCAAGCGUUAAUCGGAAUUACUGGGCGUAAAGCGUGCGCAGGCGGUUUGCUAAGACCGAUGUGAAAUCCCCGGGCUCAACCUGGGAACUGCAUUGGUGACUGGCAGGCUAGAGUAUGGCAGAGGGGGGUAGAAUUCCACGUGUAGCAGUGAAAUGCGUAGAGAUGUGGAGGAAUACCGAUGGCGAAGGCAGCCCCCUGGGCCAAUACUGACGCUCAUGCACGAAAGCGUGGGGAGCAAACAGGAUUAGAUACCCUGGUAGUCCACGCCCUAAACGAUGUCAACUAGUUGUGGGGAUUCAUUUCCUUAGUAACGUAGCUAACGCGUGAGGUUGACCGCCUGGGGAGUACGGUCGCAAGAUUAAAACUCAAAGGAAUUGACGGGGUCAUAGCUGUUUCCU